rnacentral:piRNA from 1 species
GAUUCAACAAUGCCUAAGAAUGCCUC